rnacentral:rRNA from 1 species
UGGACCUGAUAUCAGGCAAGAC